rnacentral:lncRNA from 1 species
CCAGGCUGGAGGGAAUCCUUCCUUGUCCCUUUCUUCCUCAUCCCGCUGCGCUCCGCAACAGACCGAGCCUAGAUAGUUCCAUAGCACUUAUCAGACAGGGAUCUGAUCGGUCACGGCUAAAGUUCGGUUUUUGGUCUCAUCUCAGCCUCCGGUUUUGCAGAGAGACGAACGCCGUGAAUCUGAUUGCUUCAGUCACUCAUCCACUAGCUCAAGUUCAGAGUCCCAUGUGGCCGUCAGUCUCCUCCAUCUUCCCUCCGUCAGGCUUCUCACUCAUCCCUGCCUCUCGCUAUCCGCUCGCCGACCGGGUGGAAGGAGCUCGACCAGUGGGUAGAACAGUGGCGUGGACGAACUCUCGUUGCUUCGUCGGCCAUGGUGCGUGAUUUCACGCCACGUUAUGGAGGCGGCGUCACCACGACAGGAGGCUCCCUCUGCGCUAACGAGGCGAACGCUUUCACGUAACUUGCCCGGGCUUCCGUCGCCAUCAGCGGGGCGGCCGCCGGGGGUGUGGAGGAGUCCCCGACGUCUGUAAGGCCAAUCGGUCCCCUGGCAUUUCUUUUCUCCAUUUGUGCGCCUCUGGGGCUCAUGAAAGUGACGAGAUAUCCUCCCCUCCGAUCACACUUCUGCCGCCCAUUUUGCUUCGUAAGUUGCUGAAUAUCCUGCUCAAUAAACAAAAACUGGGUCCUGUACAGUCGACCGUACCUGCGCGUCUCCAGUGUUCCACCAGUGAAACGGAGACCAGUGGCGUUCGCCACCACAGCCGUAUGAGGAAAAGGCCGGAAGAGAACAGCGGCGGGGAUGGCAU